AGAGUUUGAUCCUGGCUCAGGAUGAACGCUGGCGGCGUGCUUAACACAUGCAAGUCGAACGAGAAUCUACUGAAAGAGUUUUCGGACAAUGGAUGUAGAGGAAAGUGGCGGACGGGUGAGUAACGCGUGAGGAACCUGCCUUGAAGAAGGGGACAACAGUUGGAAACGACUGCUAAUACCGCAUGACGCAUAGAGGUCGCAUGAUCUUUAUGCCAAAGAUUUAUCGCUUCAAGAUGGCCUCGCGUCUGAUUAGCUAGUUGGCGGGGUAACGGCCCACCAAGGCGACGAUCAGUAGCCGGACUGAGAGGUUGAACGGCCACAUUGGGACUGAGAUACGGCCCAGACUCCUACGGGAGGCAGCAGUGGGGAAUAUUGGGCAAUGGGCGCAAGCCUGACCCAGCAACGCCGCGUGAAGGAAGAAGGCUUUCGGGUUGUAAACUACUUUUAAGAGGGAAGAGCAGAAGACGGUACCUCUAGAAUAAGCCACGGCUAACUACGUGCCAGCAGCCGCGGUAAUACGUAGGUGGCAAGCGUUGUCCGGAUUUACUGGGUGUAAAGGGCGUGCAGCCGGGUCUGCAAGUCAGAUGUGAAAUCCAUGGGCUCAACCCAUGAACUGCAUUUGAAACUGUAGAUCUUGAGUGUCGGAGGGGCAAUCGGAAUUCCUAGUGUAGCGGUGAAAUGCGUAGAUAUUAGGAGGAACACCAGUGGCGAAGGCGGAUUGCUGGACGAUAACUGACGGUGAGGCGCGAAAGUGUGGGGAGCAAACAGGAUUAGAUACCCUGGUAGUCCACACUGUAAACGAUGAAUACUAGGUGUGCGGGGAUUGACCCCCUGCGUGCCGCAGUAAACACAAUAAGUAUUCCACCUGGGGAGUACGAUCGCAAGGUUGAAACU
rnacentral:rRNA from 1 species